AAAUGCCCUGCUUCCAGGAAAAGCCUCUAAGCAUCAGGUAACAUCAAAUCGUACCCCAAACCGACACAGGUGGUCAGGUAGAGAAUACCAAGGCGCUUGAGAGAACUCGGGUGAAGGAACUAGGCAAAAUGGUGCCGUAACUUCGGGAGAAGGCACGCUGAUAUGUAGGUGAAGUCCCUCGCGGAUGGAGCUGAAAUCAGUCGAAGAUACCAGCUGGCUGCAACUGUUUAUUAAAAACACAGCACUGUGCAAACACGAAAGUGGACGUAUACGGUGUGACGCCUGCCCGGUGCCGGAAGGUUAAUUGAUGGGGUUAGCGGUAACGCGAAGCUCUUGAUCGAAGCCCCGGUAAACGGCGGCCGUAACUAUAACGGUCCUAAGGUAGCGAAAUUCCUUGUCGGGUAAGUUCCGACCUGCACGAAUGGCGUAAUGAUGGCCAGGCUGUCUCCACCCGAGACUCAGUGAAAUUGAACUCGCUGUGAAGAUGCAGUGUACCCGCGGCAAGACGGAAAGACCCCGUGAACCUUUACUAUAGCUUGACACUGAACAUUGAGCCUUGAUGUGUAGGAUAGGUGGGAGGCUUUGAAGUGUGGACGCCAGUCUGCAUGGAGCCGGCCUUGAAAUACCACCCUUUAAUGUUUGAUGUUCUAACGUUGGCCCCUGAUCGGGGUUGCGGACAGUGUCUGGUGGGUAGUUUGACUGGGGCGGUCUCCUCCUAAAGAGUAACGGAGGAGCACGAAGGUUGGCUAAUCCUGGUCGGACAUCAGGAGGUUAGUGCAAUGGCAUAAGCCAGCUUGACUGCGAGCGUGACGGCGCGAGCAGGUGCGAAAGCAGGUCAUAGUGAUCCGGUGGUUCUGAAUGGAAGGGCCAUCGCUCAACGGAUAAAAGGUACUCCGGGGAUAACAGGCUGAUACCGCCCAAGAGUUCAUAUCGACGGCGGUGUUUGGCACCUCGAUGUCGGCUCAUCACAUCCUGGGGCUGAAGUAGGUCCCAAGGGUAUGGCUGUUCGCCAUUUAAAGUGGUACGCGAGCUGGGUUUAGAACGUCGUGAGACAGUUCGGUCCCUAUCUGCCGUGGGCGCUGGAGAACUGAGGGGGGCUGCUCCUAGUACGAGAGGACCGGAGUGGACGCAUCACUGGUGUUCGGGUUGUCAUGCCAAUGGCACUGCCCGGUAGCUAAAUGCGGAAGAGAUAAGUGCUGAAAGCAUCUAAGCACGAAACUUGCCCCGAGAUGAGUUCUCCCUGACUCCUUGAGAGUCCUGAAGGAACGUUGAAGACGACGACGUUGAUAGGCCGGGUGUGUAAGCGCAGCGAUGCGUUGAGCUAACCGGUACUAAUGAACCGUGAGGCUUAACCUU
rnacentral:rRNA from 1 species